UGUUCAGUACACAUCGGCAGUUAACUGCCAAGGUUUCCAUAAAAUUCGGCAGUUAACUGCCGAUGGACAU
rnacentral:pre_miRNA from 1 species